GGCCUUUCCCGGGGCGCUGGUGGCCGGCGGGGCGUCUAGAGCUCAGGCUGGACUGGGGCCCCCGCGGCGUGUGUCCGCGCUGGCAGCAGGGAGAGGGGGCUUGUCCGUGAGAAACGGCCCCAGGAAAUUCCCAGGGCAAGGUCGUUUUCGGAGAACAAAGUCCUCUCGCCCCCUCCCCACGCCUGCAGCGAGACAAAAAGCCUCAGGGAGGUGAGAGGUGCCGCACCCCGGGAGCUGGAGAGAGGAGUCUGGGACGGAGAAACUUUAAAAAGUAAAUGCCCAAACCAACUCCUUGAAUGUCCUACAAAAGAAUAAGAAAACCCCGAGGGAGGUGAACCACAAAAAUUGCUUUGCAAGCAAUGUCCGGCACCAUCAGCAACUCCUACUGGACUCCCAGGAGUUUGCAAGCGUUCUUAACCCCUUCGGACGCUCCAGCCAGAUGCCAGUCAAACAGAUGAUGCUCUUGCCUGAGGGGAAAGGAAAGACACAACCUAGUGCCACAGGUUUUACUCAGAAACUGUUUCCCCAGCUUCUCCAGCUCUUUGUACUUAUUUGUGUGUUUUUAUAUGCAAGUUAGAACUAACAGUCUAUUAAAGCUGUUAGAUGGAGAUACAUGUUCCAUCCCACCCUCAGCCACACCUUGGAUUUUAAUACUUCUGGAACGGUGCCUGCAGGUACCAGGAAGAGCUAAACAACUUCACCUGUUGAAGACUGGCUAGUGAUGGGGAACGGUCCUCCUGCUUCCCGCUUUUGUUUCCACUUCCCCCAUUAACUGUUGUACUCUGUUGAGGGAACUCCUUUCAGAAACAGCAAACCAGAGAAACUGCCUCGCUAGCAAAUUCAUGGGCUCAGAAAAUAAACGUCAAGAAGGCUCAGAUUAAAAUACCUUUUAAAGAUAAAAGACUCCAGUUCGCAGUCUCAUAAUCUUGUCGAAUUGUCUCAAACGCUUGGAAAAGGAACUCGCUAGGCAGAUAACCUUUUGUUCAUUAACAUUACUGGGAAACAAGAUGAGAGGCCUCAAGAAAGGGGUGGAACUCAGAAAGGAGUGAAAGCAGCAAAAUUUAGUCAGAUGCCAAAGGCUUGGCAGAAAAAAAAAUAGGGAAAACCACUACAGUGUUUUUAGCUAGUUAUCAUGGAGA
rnacentral:lncRNA from 1 species